UAUUUGUGAGGCUCUAUUGAGCAUUCUUCUUUCUUAAAUAGUUGAAUAAUUCUUUAAAUCAUAUUCUGGUUUUGUCAGCUCACAAUUGCUGUAUCACAUGAAUUAGCCCAUCUAUGGCUUGGCAAUCUGGUAACAAUGGAAUGGUGGAGUCAUUUAUGGCUUAAUGAGGGAUUUGCAACAUGGGUAAAAUUGAGUCAUCUCACAUAACUGCUUCCACUUGCUGGCUAUUGCAAUACAUUCAUUUUCUUGUUUGAAUCUGUAUUUGAUCUUAAAUUUCCAGGUAAGUUAUAUGGCCACUGACAGGCAACAGCAUGUUUCCUUAGUGGAAUAUAUGGACUCUAUUUCUUCUAAAAACAAAUGAUGGCUUGCGUAUGGAUGCACUGGAACAAUUGCAUCCUAUUGAGGUCGAGGAACCCAGGGCUUGUUCAAUAGGGGAAUUAUUUGAUUCUAUCAGCUACAAAAAGGGAUCUUCAGUCACUCGAAUGUUGCAGGGUUAUCUUGGUAUGGCACAUUUCAGGAGGGAUGGUUCAUGUUCUUGACUUAUAGUUGGGUUAUUUUUAUAUGGAGCACCAAAUAUUGAUUCUGUUUUUUUAUGGUAAAACCUUCUCAUUUCUUGGAAAAUAUAUACCAAACUAAUGCUUGGCAUUUCUUAGUUAAUGUCAUUUGUUUUAUAAAGCUUUAAUGGCUCUCUUAUCCAUUAAUCAGGUUUGGCACUUUAUAAUUGUCAAGGCUAUUAUGUAAUUCAUGUUUAUUUCUUAUCAUAUAUGUUAACAAUGCCAUUAUAGUCUUCAAUUAUUCAAUGGACUAAGAAUAUAUAUUGAUACCACAUGGGCUCAAAAAUUUAGAGUGGAUUGGGGUUUGACUCAGUGUGUAGGAUGCUUUUGCCAUGUAACACCUUCUAGGUAUUUUCUUGGGCAGAGACUCUUGCUCCAGUGUCUUUUCUUCUUUUAGAAUCCAUAUAUAUGUGCCGUGUCACUUAUAUUUGUCAAAUUGGAAGCUUUCUUUGAUCACUUAUUCCACUAAUAAUCGUGGUCACUAAUGUGUACAAUGUAUAAUUUCUCAAUGCAGUAGACCUUGAGGCCGUUUGGAUUCAGCGUUUUCCGCUGAAUCCAAGCUGCGUUUUCUGAAUUUUUUUUUUUUUUUUUUUUUUACUUUAGCCGCAUAUUUUGACUAAAUCAACUGUGAACAGUGCAUUCGUGCACUGUUCACGGACCCACAAAUUCCACUUUUCAGUAACUUUUUCAUUAAAAAUGGGUCCCACGAUACUAUUCACAUAUUUAAAAAUUAUUUUGCUACAGUGUUUUCAGUUUCAGUUUUCAGUUUCAGCAAAAAUAAGCUCAAUCCAAACGGACCCCUUAAUAUCACUUUUUCAUGGAAAAUAUUCUUGGUAACAAAAAUGCUACCAUGAACAUUUUUCUUUUGUCAACAUGUUCUGCACACAAAUUUAUGAAACUGACUGAAGGGAAAGGUCUGAAUUAUAUUCCUGUAGUAAUUUGCACUUCUUGAACGUGAUUAAAAUUCGCUGUGUAACAAGUGGAUAGAAAAUUAACUUUGACUAAAUUACAUAUAUAACUCUGUGACUUCUUAUUUGAACCAGAAAUCCUUAAGUUAGCACAUAAAAAGAUAUGCUGGAAAGAAUUCAAGGACAGAUGAUUUAUGGGGCGUUCUUUCAGAGAACUAUGGUGAACUCAAUUCAAUGAUGGAUGCUUGGUAAAAAAAAAAAAAAAAAGGGAUUUCCAGUUAUCUCUGUAAAAUCCAAAGAUAAUAUUUUGGAAUUUGAACAGGUAUUAUUAUUAAGUAAUAAGCAAACAUGCAUUUCUUAAAGGUUUAGAGGUCAAGUUGUUUAUCUUUAUCAAGAUAGUAUUAUCGUGCUAUUCAUGAUAAGUUCAGAAGGCCAUGAGGUAGCAUGGAGAUGGUUGAAGGUAUGCAGCUCCUGCUCAACAUCUAAUUGGUAGCAUGUCUAAUUAUGUAUAUAGUCUGGAAAAUAUUAUGAUUGGGAGUUGAGAAGCAACUAUUUACUUUAAAUUUAUAAUUGUAUAUAUGGUUGGAAAAUAUAUGAAUACCUAUCUCUCCAAAUUAAUAUCUUCAUAUUUAUAAUGUUUUGCGGCCUUCUCGGCAUUAUGUUCAAAUUACUGUCAUAUAUGUACUAGGGUUAGUUAUAUAGUGAAGUAGGCUUCUUCAUAAACUUGAAUAUCUUUUUUUUUUUUUCCUUUGUGCGGAAAAUCGAGUUGGGAAUCAAUAGCUGGAGAGACUCAUUUAAAUGCACUGUUGAGAAUGAUAGAAAUACUUAUCUCCGGUCCAUGGACACUAGAAAGGUAAAAGUUUUGCCUGUACUUUUAAAUCACUUCCUUAUCAGUAGGGGCAUUUUCGAGUUCUAUAUUCAACUGUGGUAUAUGCUCUGCAGGCUGCUUUCAUUGUUGUAAUGUUAAAUGCUAGUACGACAAAUAGGAAUGGAUUUGAGUCCUUAUUGAAGCUCAAUAGAGAAGCAGAUAUUGUUAAGAUUUAGUAACAUUGGAAAUAGUAUCCUGUCACUUUUUGGGUGAAAGCUACUUAAAUUUAAUGUCAUUCUUUCAUCCUUGUAAAGGUUUUCUUGCAUCUUGUCCAAACCCAAAUAUAUUGCUCGUGGUUUUAAAUUUUAUGUUGUUUGAUGAGGUAUUGGUUGUGCCAAUUAAAUCACGGUUUUUAACGGCCUCAUCUUUCUUGCGGAUCUAAAUGUUAUUCAUAUAAAUAUCCUUUCAGGUUCGAGAUCAAUAUAUUAUUUACGUGCUUUUCUUGACAAGUUGAGAAGGCCGUGAGGUAGCAUGGAGAUGCUUGAAGUUCUGCAGUAAUGAAAAGGCCGAUGAGAUAGAAGCAUUUUUUUGCCAGCCGUAUGCAUCCUUCAUUUACCAUGAGUUUGAAGCAAAGUACCGAGCAAAUCCGACUCAAAGCGAGGUGGGUUGACAACAAAAGGUGAGAGCAAUCUCUAUACGACCUAGUCAAACAAUUAGCUCUCAAGAAAUGCUAGUCUUCACUUUGCUUCCAAAACUAUAUUGUGAAUGUAAUUAUGUUAAGAAUAAUAAACAACAUACAUUGCAUGCUCAGCAACUUGUGUUAUUUAUGUAAGGAGUUACAUAUGAAGAAAUCAAACCAUGAACAGGUUGCUACCUA